AUGGAGACUAAGUUUGGUUGUUUUGUGUUCGACUGUCUGUUUCUGGUUGUGGUUAACAGUGUUGUUCCCCAGCCCAGAGUUGAGGACGCUGUCCCAUCCACUGACCUCCACUAUGUCACCUCUGGUCCUGGCCUUCUCAGUGAUGUCCCCUGGGCCCUUGGUUGCACCCGUCUGGUUCUGGGAAUCCAAGAUGGCCGCCCAGUCUCCCCUGUUAGCCUCCAGCCAACCACCUGCAAGAAAAGGCACCCUUCAGAGUAUACAUUACUACUGCGCCGAUUCCAGUCCCCUCUAGACAGAUCCGUCUGUGUCUCUAAACCCAAGGGCAUGUUGCCAGGGUCCAUCUCUGUAUUGUAAGAACAAGACGGAUCAUCACUGGCAGUGUCUAACGCGUCACCAUCACCAUCCCCACGGGAAUUAACCGUCCUCUGGCUCUGGUGAAAUACUGGUAAAUACUCUGAACCAGGAGCAGGAGGACUGCCCAGUUUACCCAGCCCCGGUCUCUCUGGAUCUGAUCUAUGGUCAGAUCCUGGGUGUAGGAGCCUGUGUGUUACAGUUAAAGUCUUGGUGUCUGUCUCUGACUUGAGGACGGCGUUCUGUGUUCCACUGACCUCCGUGAUGCUGCGUCGGGUCCUGGGCUGCGCUUGGUUGGUGGGGUCCUCCGUGGCUGCAGAGGGCGCUCCAGACUGAAUUUCUCUGAUGUUCCGUGGGUCCUCCUCUCCUUCAGACCUCUCCUGCUUGACCCCAGGACCUGCAGCCUCUGCAUCUGCAGACUGACACAAGAAGAUAACAAUAUCGUCUCACAAGCUUCCUUAUGGCAGAUUUAAAAAAAAUAAUGUUUUACCUUUAUUUAACUGAGGAUAAAUGACGAUGUUACAUGUAAGCAAGUGAAUAGCUGAGGGGAGAUUUUCUGAAAUAAACAGGCCACAUUUGCUAACUGUAAUUUUUGUGUAACACUAUUACACUAACCUCUAUCACCAUAAAAUUCUGGGAUGUGGUUCCACUCCCCUCAUCAACAGUGAUUGGUUGGUCAUCUCUCCAUGUAUAUUGUUCCGCUGGCUUCACAAAGCUUCUGUGGCCUCCAGUGAGAUGUCCUUCACCUGAGAGUGUGAUUUGGAGAAAAGAGGUGGUUAGGUUAGCUACUGUCAAUGCUAUAUUAUACAUGUUUGACCCUGUCUACAAUUGGUAUGGAUUUAAGGUAACACUUCUCAUAACUUAUUGAUAUACUAUUUAUUGAUUAUGUUC
rnacentral:lncRNA from 1 species